rnacentral:pre_miRNA from 1 species
CCGCAGUUUGCACUCAUUGAUCAGUGAGUUGAUUGACAUUCAAACCCACCGACAGCAAUGAAUGUUGAGUGCAG